rnacentral:tRNA from 2 species
GCGAGAUUGGUUCAACGGUUAGAACGCUUACUUUACACGUAAGAGACAGUAGUUCGACUCUACUAUCUUGUA